rnacentral:misc_RNA from 1 species
AUCGAUGACAAUGACUACUCGAUCAAGAUGAAGAAGGUGAAGGAGUUCCUCGACGAAGGCGACAAGGUCAAGGUGACUAUGCGCUUUCGUGGUCGUGAGAUGGCCCACCAGCACUUGGCCAUGGACAUCUUGAAUAAGGUUAAGGACGAGGUCGCCGAGCUUGGCAAGGUCGAGCAGAUGCCCAAGCUCGAGGGCAGGCAGAUGAUCAUGGUGAUGGCGCCCUUGAAGUGAGCAGCCGAGCCGAAAGGCUGACGGCGCUCCGCGGCUGGUUGCAGGAACGCGGUCUCAGCGGUUUCUACCUGCCACGAACCGA